rnacentral:rRNA from 1 species
GAUUAUGGCUCAGGAUGAACGCUAGCUACAGGCUUAACACAUGCAAGUCGAGGGGCAGCAUUGGGAUAGCUUGCUAUUCAGAUGGCGACCGGCGCACGGGUGAGUAACGCGUAUCCAACCUUCCUGCCAGUAGGGAACAGCCCGGCGAAAGUCGGAUUAAUGCCCUAUGUUCUUCAAUGCGGACAUCUAAGUUGAAGGAAAGAUUCAUCGCUGGCAGAUGGGGAUGCGUCCGAUUAGCUUGCCGGCGGGGUAACGGCCCACCGGGGCGACGAUCGGUAGGGGUUCUGAGAGGAAGGUCCCCCACACUGGUACUGAGACACGGACCAGACUCCUACGGGAGGCAGCAGUGAGGAAUAUUGGUCAAUGGGCGUAAGCCUGAACCAGCCAAGUAGCGUGCAAGGAUGACGGCCCUACGGGUUGUAAACUGCUUUUAUGCGGGGAUAAAGUGCGGCACGUGUGCCGCUUUGCAGGUACCGCAUGAAUAAGGACCGGCUAAUUCCGUGCCAGCCGCGGC